rnacentral:rRNA from 1 species
UACGUAGGUGGCAAGCGUUGUCCGGAAUUACUGGGUGUAAAGGAGCGCAGGCGGGAAGCCAAGUCAGCUGUGAAAACUACGGGCUUAACUUGUAGACUGCAGUUGAAACUGGUUUUCUUGAGUGAAGUAGAGGUUGGCGGAAUUCCGAGUGUAGCGGUGAAAUGCGUAGAUAUUCGGAGGAACACCGGUGGCGAAGGCGGCCAACUGGGCUUUAACUGACGCUGAGGCUCGAAAGUGUGGGGAGCAAACAGG